GACACAGUGGUAGAGUGGAAACAACAGAAACUGCUGCCAGCAGAUCUGGGGCAUAACUGUACAUCUAUUCCUUACUGGCUAAGUGAGCCUGUAUAGAGCAGCUAAUGCAAGAGAUACACCAAGCUGAGCAACAAGAAAAGAUCUACUGAAAGUCUCCUUGGCUUUACCAAGAAAGCAAAGACCGUCACUGCAUUGAGAGUCUUGAGUCAAGGUGCAUUUCUUACAACACUCUGCUCCUUCA
rnacentral:lncRNA from 10 species